rnacentral:piRNA from 1 species
UAAAAUGAGAACACGAGAAAACUGCUAAGU